AAGUAUUUUCCUCGCCCAGAGACCGUGGUAAAGGGUCUUCGUGCUCCAAUACUUUUCAACUGCUGUGUCUACAUGUACCAGACCAGAAUAAAUCACAAUGGCUAUCAAAUGAUUUAUUUCAUCUUCAGUAGUUGUUUGCCAGGCCCCUUCUCCAGUGGUGUAUGAAGUGAACCCCCCAGCUACAAGUCUCAUGUAUGCGUAGCUGUUGGUGUGGGCAACAACUGAUUUUAUCAUCUCGGUGGUGAAGAAGAGACGAAAAAAUUCUAGUUCAGUUGUCAUUCCUCCCCGCAAGACAUGCCUAUCAAAAUGAAUUCCUGGCGCCCGACUUGGUUGAAAGGGAGGGAGGGUAUUCUUAAUGUCUGGGUCAUCGUAAGAUUUAUUACUACUAUUGUUGGCCCCGGUAUCCCUAGCCCUGCCACCCCUGCCCUGCCACCCCUGCCCCUGCCACCCCUGCCCCUGCCACCCCUGGCCCUACUGCCCCUGGCCCUACUACCCCUUCCCCUAUUGCCAGAAGUACCACUAGGGGAGUCAGCCCGUCUCCUAAUUGGGGAUCGGCCCCUUCCACCACUACCCUCCCCUAAAUCACCAUCCUCCUCCCAAUCCGGAUCCUCGUCUUCUACUCCAAAAUCAUCAUCUUCUUCAUCAGCAGGUUCCCAUCACUAUAGAAAAAUAAAAUACUAUAA
rnacentral:lncRNA from 1 species